GACGAACGCUGGCGGCGUGCUUAACACAUGCAAGUCGAACGGAAAGGCCCUGCUUGCAGGGUACUCGAGUGGCGAACGGGUGAGUAACACGUGGGUGAUCUGCCCUGCACUUCGGGAUAAGCCUGGGAAACUGGGUCUAAUACCGGAUAGGAGCCAUUUUGAGUGUGAUGGUUGGAAAGUUUUUUCGGUGUAGGAUGAGCUCGCGGCCUAUCAGCUUGUUGGUGGGGUAAUGGCCUACCAAGGCGGCGACGGGUAGCCGGCCUGUGAGGGUGGACGGCCACCUUGGGACUGAGAUGCGGCCCCGGCUCCUACGGGAGGCAGCAGUGGGGAAUCUUGCACAAUGGGCGCAAGCCUGAUGCAGCGACGCCGCGUGGGGGAUGACGGCCUUCGGGUUGUAAACUCCUUUCGCUAGGGACGAAGCUUUUUGUGACGGUACCUAGAUAAGAAGCACCGGCUAACUACGUG
rnacentral:rRNA from 1 species